GCUCGCUUCGGCAGCUCGCUUCGGCUCCGGAAUGAUACGGAGAAGAUUAGCACGGCCCCUGUGCCAGGAUAACACGCAAAGUCAUGAAGCGUUCCUUAUUUUU